rnacentral:rRNA from 1 species
AACGAACGCUGGCGGCAUGCCUAACACAUGCAAGUCGAACGAGACCUUCGGGUCUAGUGGCGCACGGGUGCGUAACGCGUGGGAACCUGCCCUUAGGUUCGGAAUAACUCAGAGAAAUUUGAGCUAAUACCGGAUAAUGUCUUCGGACCAAAGAUUUAUCGCCUUUGGAUGGGAUCGCGUAGGAUUAGCUUGUUGGUGGGGUAAUGGCCUACCAAGGCGUCGAUCGUUAGCUGGUCUGAGAGGAUGACCAGCCACACUGGGACUGAGACACGGCCCAGACGCCUACGGGAGGCAGCAGUGGGGAAGAUUGUACAAUGGGCGGAAGCCUGAUGCAGCAACUCCGCGUGCGGGAUGACGGCCUCCGGGUUGUAAACCGCUCCCGCCGGCGACGAAGCGUGAGUGACGGUAAUGGGUAAAGAAGCACCGGCUAACUACGUG